rnacentral:rRNA from 1 species
GACGAACGCUGGCGGCGUGCUUAACACAUGCAAGUCGAACGGAAAGGCCCUGCUUUUGUGGGGUGCUCGAGUGGCGAAAGGGUGAGUAACACGUGAGUAACCUGCCCUUGACUUUGGGAUAACUUCAGGAAACUGGGGCUAAUACCGGAUAGGAGCUACUGCUGCAUGGUGGGGGUUGGAAAGUUUCGGCGGUUGGGGAUGGACUCGCGGCUUAUCAGCUUGUUGGUGGGGUAGUGGCUUACCAAGGCUUUGACGGGUAGCCGGCCUGAGAGGGUGACCGGCCACAUUGGGACUGAGAUACCGCCCAGCCUCCUACGGGAGGCAGCAGUGGGGAAUAGUGCACAAUGGGCGGAAGCCUGAUGCAGCAACGCCGCGUGCGGGAUGACGGCCUUCGGUUUGUAAACCGCUUUCGCCUGUGACGAAGCGUGAGUGACGGUAAUGGGUAAAGAAGCACCGGCUAACUACGUG